ensembl:lncRNA
CCGGGCCCGGGAGCCUCCCCGCUUACCGCACUAGGAAGUGACGCUUUCCCUGAGUCCCGGAGAGAAAGAAACAAAGUUUUUUUGGUGGUUUUUUUUUCUUCUUUCCGUUUUUUCUCUCGCUCGGUGGUCUUUCCUUCUGCGUUUACUCUUUGCAAUCUGCAGCCCCGGAGGCUCCCGCCGUACCUCGCAGCGCAGUGUAAAAGCAAUGCAGAGUAUCAUAACACCUCAGUAUAUCUGGAGACAAGACACAUUAUCUUCUGGGAAUUAUGGUAUCAGAACUGGCAUUGUGCUUUGUUUGAAGGUAAGAACUCAUCAGAGAUUCACUGCUCCAAAGUACACUUAAGCCUGGAAGUGUGUUGUCACUUUGCAACUUCAGUCUGACUCUUGUGCUGAAAUUAGAGUAAAACGAAACCUCAGAGCAGGUAAUUGGUUGGGAUGAUGAUAAUGUGAGCUCAUCCCUUGAACUCAGGGAGGGAAGCCUGCUUAGUCAUAGAGCUAGCUGUGCUCAGCCAAUGAAGCUGCCAAGUAUGAGCUUUCCUGCAGAACAGUCAUGCUGCAGCUUGAACAUCUAUCACUUCAGCUUAAACUAUGGACUGUUAUUAUUAAGAUGAC